rnacentral:tRNA from 1 species
GGCUACGUAGCUCAGCUGGUUAGAGCACAUCACUCAUAAUGAUGGGGUCACAUUUCGCCGCUUCCUGCGCCUGCAGCCG